rnacentral:rRNA from 1 species
AGCAGCCGCGGUAAUUCCAGCUCCAAUAGCGUAUAUUAAAGUUGUUGCAGUUAAAAAGCUCGUAGUUGAAUUUCGGGGUUAGUAGGCUGGUCGUGCCACUGGUACGUACUGGUCUCACUGAUUCCUCCUUCCUGAUGAACCGUAAUGCCAUUAAUUUGGUGUUGCGGGGAGACUGGGCUGUUACUUUGAAAAAAUUAGAGUGUUUAAAGCAAGCUAACGCUUGAAUACAUUAGCAUGGAAUAAUGAAAUAGGACGUUCGAUCCUAUUUUGUUGGUUUCUAGGAUUGACGUAAUGAUUAAUAGGGAUAGUUGGGGGCAUUAGUAUUCAAUUGUCAGAGGUGAAAUUCUUGGAUUUAUUGAAGACUAACUACUGCGAAAGCAUUUGCCAAGGAUGUUUUCAUUAAUCAAGAACGAAAGUUAGGGGAUCGAAGACGAUCAGAUACCGUCGUAGUCUUAACCAUAAACUAUGCCGACUAGGGAUCGGAUGAUGUUAAUUUUUUAAUGACUCAUUCGGCGCCUUACG